rnacentral:rRNA from 1 species
AUUGAACGCUGGCGGCAUGCUUUACACAUGCAAGUCGAGCGGCAGCGCGGGGGCAACCCUGGCGGCGAGCGGCGAACGGGUGAGUAAUGCAUCGGAACGUGUCCCGGAGUGGGGGAUAACCCGGCGAAAGCCGGGCUAAUACCGCAUAUUCUGUGCGCAGGAAAGUGGGGGAUCCGCAAGGGCCUCACGCUUGGGGAGCGGCCGAUGUCCGAUUAGCUAGUUGGUGAGGUAACGGCUUACCAAGGCGACGAUCGGUAGCUGGUCUGAGAG